rnacentral:lncRNA from 1 species
AGCACCUGAUGGGCUUUUAAUACAUUUUGAAUCAAUGAAUACUUUUUAAAACCAUCAUGCAGCCAGAUAUUUUCAUUGGCAUUCAAGAGACGAAACUUGUCAUUGAAAUGUCUCUGUCUAGUGGCUGGCAGUGAAUGUUCCAUAAGGCUCAACCGGGAAGAAAAUUCAAAUCCAGCAUUUAUUGCGAGGCAUCGCUUGAGUGUAAGCUCCAGACGUUUCAUGAUUAGCGAUCCUUCUUGCUACAGCCCCGCAAUCUCAUCAGGAAAUGUGGCUGAAGAGAAAAAACAAAUGCGGGAGCUUGGGAACUUGUUAGCGUUUUCCUGAAAGACUUGAUAGUAAAGUGAUUCAGAAGAUUUUCAGUCAUCUCAUGAGCUGUUAAUAGCUUUCCUUGCAUAAAAAGGCUGAAUAACUUUUCAGGAUAAAUUGCACAAAAUCUAUCCAGGAAAGGGAUAAAGUCAGCUGUAUGAUAGAAUAUGAGAUUGAGAGCAAUUCAAAUUCAUAUAAAAAUGUUAUGUUCAUAUGACAUAGUAAAGAGAGCAAGAAAACCAUUUUACUCAAAAUUCAGGUAAAAGGCAAAAUAUGAAAAAAGGCCAGAGGAAAUUGGAGUGGGAACACAGAGUUCUAGGAGAAAAAUGUGACUUAGCAGAACCUAAAAAACAUCUGGCAGGGUAUAAUUAGUCAUGGAAAAAUUGACAGUCAUGACUAUGCAUUUUGAGAAAAUAAUUAUAUACUAGUCCAGCAGCUAACAUUUCAACCAAAAUGAAGUAGUUAAGAGCCCAUAUAAUGAAAUCUGUUAUCUUGGUCACUCAAAAUACUUCUAUUAGCUUUCUAGAAUAGUUUACAAGAAACUUUACCAAAUAAGUUAUCCCAUAGCAGCAGUAUCCUGAAAAGUAUAAUUUUAGAGAAAAAGCUUGCAGUUUCAACCUUACUAAUACGGGAUUGGUAUUUUCAGUACAUCACUCUCUUUAUAAUGUUAAGGCUUAUGAAACUACCUGCCAGAUUUCAGUUUGAAAAAGAGUAAAUAUUCAUCAUACAUCCUCUACAUAUGAUGUAUUUAUGAUUAAAUGAAUCAUAAGCUGUGGAUAUUGUUUUAGUAACAAAAAGGUAUUUAAAAGUUCAGUCCUUAACAUAUAUUUUAAAAUAUAUGUUCUUAUUAAUAUAACAUGAUUUUAAAAGUUUUUACGUGGUAUCAUUUUAUGUAAGCAUCCCUUAACUCCCUAUUUCUAUAACUCUUUAUACUUGACUGUUGGGCUACACCAGUUGGGUUGCCCAGCCUCAAGACCAAAGAAAGAGCCUGGAGACAGAGACAUCAAGGGUUUAACAGAUGGGGGGGGGCUCUUACACAAAGGGUCCUGGAUUGACACCUCCCCUUGUGCGUGUGUGACGGGCAGGACCUGGCAACAGUCUUCGUUACUGGGGGAUGGGGGAGAAGCCGGCCACCAUUUAUAGGGGGAAUUGAUGUCAGGUGGGCUCACCAAUUGUAAGGGACGAAUUAAGCCCUAUAAUUAAGAGGAUUGGCUGGUCAUGUGAGUGAAGCAGGGCCUGGUGAAACAGGAGACACAGACAGCAAGACAAUAGCCAUCUUGAGCGGCCUGCCCACACACUGACCUAUGUGCUAGGUGGAUGAACAUACUUCCAUUCAUUCAAUAAGUGCUUGCAUAGCUUACCUGAUGCUGAGUUCUCUGCUUGACUUUGAAUAUAAAACCCAAAGAGUCCUUUCCAAAUAUGUAUAUAUAUAUGAAUCAUAUGAUGUAUGACUAUAACACCUACUUACUGGUUUGAAUGAUAUUCUGUCAGCAUUUUGGAUUGGAUAUGAAAAAUCUUAACAAUGGUUUUUAUUAAUAAAUUUUGUUCCAUGCAAAUUGUUUUUUAAUGUAAAAUGUAGGUAUGUCACAGUCAGUCCAUCAAACAGGUAUCUUUCAGAAAAUUAUGUGGGCUUGAAGUGUAUGUACUUUAUUGAGUUGAAUUGAUGAACUCUCUAAAUUUUGUACAUGGAAAAAAAUUCCAUUAUAGAAAGACAGCUCUAUUAAAAAGGCAAGGCUAAUAGAAAAGAUAAUUAAGGUGGAAUUCCUCAGAUGAAGAAUAAAAAAAUGUGAAAUAACUCGUUUAAAAGCGUUUGCACAGGAGGCUUCAUUCUUUUUCAGAAAAUUCAUUUGCUGCCAUUUUAUAAAACAGUGUAGGUCACAAAUGCUCCAAAAUUUUAGCCCAUUACCCAUCCAAUCACUCGCUGCCUUUAGUGAAAGAUGCUCUGUCCUAUUUACACCAAUUCCUCUAGCAAACAGAUUUUCAAGCCAGGAAAUAAUUUCCGAAUAAGCUAUUUCCACACUGGAAGCGUGUUUAUGUCUGGCUAGUUGGAAUUGCCAUCCUGAACCAUGGCCCUUGAAGUUACUCUAUCGUAGCAACUCACAGUUCUAAAUGAGCAACUAAGCAGGAUGUGACUUCUACUCCCCGUCAUGAGGGGAAUAACAGCACAUAUGCUCUAGAGGGUGCUUGUGGUAUCAUGACGGUGACUGGGUUUGCAGAAUUUGGUAAACUUUACACACAGCUGUUAAAAUGACCAGAUUGAAAAGACUGGUCUUAAGCCCGGACCUUCAUUGUAAGAAUAGUAUUUGUUUCACACCUUCUAUCCUUUAUGGGUUUGCUAACCAAGACCCAGCCUUAUACAAGCUAAUAAAUAUUUAUUGAGGAAUUACUACAUAUAGGAGAAGGUACCAGGAACUGUCUUAUGAGCCCUGUUCCUGAAAUGCCAAGCAGGCGGCCAAGGGGCCGAGACUAACAUGCUCCCACAAGAAGGCGGUAUAAAUGCAUCGGGACCUGGUCUCUUGUGAGUGGAUUGAGAUCUCCGUGCCAGCAGAGGCCACUUUCCUUAGCAAAGUCCCCAGAGUCUGGCACACAGCCGUUCCUCCAUAUCCACAAAGCUUCGUUUAAAGUAAUUUGAUUGGCUAAAAGGUAUCUGGGACCUUGGAGGAGAGAGUUCACUUUUGCCGAGGGGGAGAGCGAAGGCUCCCUGGAGGAAAGCAGUGUCUGAGCUGGACCGCAGAGGAGCAGCGGAGGGAGCAGGGGCUGUGCGCGUGGGGUUAGGGAGCAGGGGUCUUGCAGGUGAGAAGCGUGGCCAGAAGCUGGCUCGAUGGCCUGAGGGCAGCUUUGUGGGCCCCGCUAAGAAGCCUGGAUGCAAUUCAGCAGACAGAAUCUCAGGCUUACCCCUCUGGUCACGGCUGGUCAGAAGGAUUGAGUCUGGGGGCCACAUCGGGAAGCUACGCCCCUAACCGACGUGGUGGCCGAAAGAAUGGCAGCUUAGGAAACGGAGUGAAGGCAGGAGCUGUAGCAGCUCUUCACCCUGGUGGCAGGUGGGGGCGGGAAGGAGAGAGGGGAGGCAGGUGUUGGGGGAGAGAGAUGAGACCCUGCAGGUCAAGACAGAGCCUGGAGGAGAAGGUUCUCAGCUUGGCAAUGAUGAGCUUUACACCUGCUGAAGCGGAGGGGGGCAGUGACAUCCGGAAAAAUGCCCAGCACGGAGAGUGGGCAGUGGGGUGCAGGCUUGUGAAGAGAUGGAGGGUGGAUAGAAACGGGGAGCCGUUUGCCUAGAGGUUUGGCUGGAGAUGUAAGAGCACGCAAGGUCUCCGAAGGAGGGCCUUUGGGGACAGCAGAUCCCUUUGCCAGCAGGAGCACCCCCUCUGCCCAGCUCACCUUAGCGGGGAGGCUCAGGGUUAGAGGCCAGGGGAGCUCAGAGCCGGGGAAGGGCUGCCGGAACCAGAGCCUCUGAGACUGGGUCUCUCACCUGCUCUCUCUCCCACCUCUCAUUUCAGCAAGUCUCCAUUUUUUUUCUGCAGGUAGACUCCCCGUCGUAGGGCCUGCUUGCUGCCAACAGCCCCAGGGCGACAUCCUCUCAGCUUUCUCACACCAGGGUCCAGCCAUCCCGCCCGAGAAUGACUUUGACUUGUCCAUGCUUGAGGCACAUGCCCAUUCUUGGGCCAAUCUGACCUGGCCACCUGUCCACUUCUGGGGUCAGGGGUGGUUUUGCUCCUGGAGGGAGCAGGUUGCUAAACUUAGUGGUCUAACAGCAACCAUGUCUACAACAGGGCUUGGAACUGAGGCUGGGAGGUGACCAUGCUAUGUUGCUGGAGGAGGAAGAUGACGUGGGGGAAAAAACAGAGAAAAAAAUAGGCAAAAGAUCUAAACUGACUUUUCUCCAAAGAAGACAGACAUGGAAAAAAAAAUCCCCAUGAAAAGUGCUCACAUCACUAUUCAUUAGAGAAAUGAAGAUCAGAACUACAAUGAGGCAUCACAUACCAGUCAGGCUGGCCUUGAUCACAAAACCUACAAACAGUAAGUGCUGGAGAGGGUGUGGAGAAAAGGGAGCCCUCCUACACUGUGGGUGGGAAUGAAAGCUGGUGCAACCGCUGUGGAGGACAGUAAGGAGGUUUCUUUAAAAACUAAUUAGAGAAUUACCCCAUGAAUCAGCAACCCCACUCCUGGGCGUAUAUCCCAAGAAAACCACAACUCGAAAAAAUACAAAGGGCACCCCACUGUUCAUAGCAGCACUGUUUACAGUGGCCAAGACAUACAUGGAAACAACCUAAACGUCCAUUCACAGAGGAUUGGAUAAAGACGAUGGGAAAUACAUAUAUAUACACACAUAUAAUAGAAUAUUAUUCAGGAGUUCCCGUCGUGGCGCAGUGGUUAACGAAUCCGACUAGGAACCAUGAGGUUGCAGGUUCGGUCCCUGCCCUUGCUCAGUGGGUUAACGAUCCGGCGUUGCCGUGAGCUGUGGUGUAGGUUGCAGAUGCGGCUCGGAUCCCGCGUUGCUGUGGCUCUGGCGUAGGCCGGUGGCUACAGCUCCGAUUCAACCCCUAGCCUGGGAACCUCCAUAUGCCACGGGAGCGGCCCAAGAAAUAGCAACAACAACAACAACAAAGACAAAAGACAAAAGACAAAAAAAAAAAAAA